AUGUGCCACUCAAAACACACUGGAGGGAUGGGCUUUAGGGACCAUGAAGCUUUCAACCAGGCGCUAUUGGCGAAGCAAGCAUGGAGGAUUGUGCAGGUACCGGACUCCCUCUGUGCUAGGGUACUUCGUGCGAGAUACUUUAAAGACAGCUCAAUUAUGAGUGCAACAUGUCCGUCUGGUGGAUCAUACACCUUCAAAAGCAUCCUCCAUGGG
rnacentral:rRNA from 1 species